CGCCGCCACCUGUGGGCGGGGCCUCCCCGGGCACCGCCCCCCACCGCAGGCGGCCCUGCAGCGCUUGGCAGCCGUGGGGCGUGUCCUGCCUCCCCCGCCCCCGCCCUGUGGCGGCUGUGGAUCAGACCUGGGAGCACGCGGUGCAGGACGGGGCCACUGACCUAGGAGGGAAGGAUGCAUCAAAGAAGUGAACCAACGACUGUCGGCCGCUACCAAGAGGGCUUCAGUUUCUUUGACCAUAGUGCACAUUUCAGGGAGAGAGGACUCCUGGGAAGGGAUUGCUCCUCAUGCAGAGGAGUAAGUCCCUGUUCUCAGCCAGGAUGGCCGAUCUUUUAGAUAGGGCUUUAAACUAAGAUCGCUGGGGGACUGGGAAACACUGACUGGAGCAUGCCUGGAGGCCAGCACACAAGUUCUCUUCCUCCUGGUGUUGCCUUCCUGAGCACUGAAAUGUAAGACAGCAGCUAGCAUUACAGUACAGUGUACUUCAGACCCCCUCACUCCCAGAAGGCUUUGCAUCUGGGAACUUCUGCUUGAGGCUGGAUGCAGGAGGCUCAGAACAAACUGUACAUAGAACAGCUGGAGGCUCAGCAUGACUGCUUACUGGCUAUACUGCAGUCCCGAAUCCUCAUGGUGCUCAAUGCGGUAGGUAUGUCCCUUCAGAGUCAUGUCCCUGGCUAUCCUCGAUGUCAGAGUAUGUAGUAUGAAGAAGUGUUGGUGUGCUUACAUUGGCAGUAUGCUGCUUCUGUGCUGAGGGAAUUCUCCUUUGGUCCUACAUAGUUUUUUUGUUGUACACACAUGCUUCUUUGGCUGAGCACAGAGUCAGCCCAGAUGUGUUGCUGAGCACACAACUUAAAUUGGAAUUGGAAUUGCAGAAAUUCCCAUAUAGUAUGGUAAUCUAAAGUCCUCAAAUGGUUUUAUUGUUAAAAUGAACAAUUCUCUAUAUCAUUAAGCACAGUAUUCAAAAAAAUAAUGCUAAGCCACGUAACCCUUCUGGGGCUGAGUCACCUCAAGAGUCAGAUUUAGCUUUCUCUGAUGCAUUUGACUCCAGCUUUAGAGUUCAUAUCGCUUAUUGAUUUAAUUUUUCCUCUUCCAAUUAUUAAAUACUUCAGAAUUACCUUAACAAACAAGGCACCUUGUUGCCAGGCUUGUCUUUUCUGUUUGGAUUUGGUACCUAUUAAAGAGAGAUUGAGAGCUUUGUGAGGAAAGUGGGAGUGAAAAGGUCUUCAAAAUAGGAGGGAGAUUCCUUAACUUUCUGGUCCUAGGAGGCCUGCUUAGUCCUGCAGAGGAGAGCAUUUUGGAAUUUUUGAUUGGGGGUCUUUUACUUUGUUCAUCCCUAAGGAGCAAGGCACGUUGGAAGGUCUGGCUGUUCCUUCUCAGUGUAAUCUCCAAUGUCCAGCACAAAUUCAUUGGCUCAGUGCAGGAAUAACUGAGUGAAAUCUGUGUGCAGCUCUAGACCUUCCUUGCCUUGGAGGAAUAAAUGGCAUCUUCUGUCUCUAUCUGUUAAUUUCAGACCUUAUUCAAUCACAUUCUUUGAGAACAAUCUCCGUUUCACCAUCAACCCCAACUUUUAAAGUUAAUUGGGGCGUGUGAGGUAUAAAUAGACUUUGGACCAGAUGGAAACUCAGUUGUAAUUUAUAGCUCGCUGAGCCAUCACAUGUUCCAUUUGUACUCUGAACAAGGGCACCAUUAAUUAUUUCUCUGUCCAGGCAGUUAGGUUACAACAAUGAUAUCCAAGAAGAAGGCCUAAGUAUAGCCAGGUUGCAACAUUUUUGCUAAAUGAGCUAGACUGUGCAGACCCACCUGCUGUUUUAAGUCCACAGCAUAGCUUAACUUUUCUGCACUGGAUGUUUUAGUAUGGGCCUAAGUCUCUGGGUCACAUCUACCACUGGAACAAAAAUCAGAGUAGCUGUUCAGAAGGCAAGAGCACUGUGCUGAUUUGCAACCAUGGAGGAGCUGGUCCUCCGCUUUAAAAAACAAGUAACAGCAAUAAUGGAGGGAUUUGCCUCCAUAGUUGUAUUUUCUUACCACUUAUUGUCUUGUCCUUUGAGAACAACACAUGUAUAUAUGUCCCUUGGGUGUGAAAUGAAGCCUUCAGUGGGGGACACAAACAUGAAAGAUGUUUAUUUCCAUUAAGGAUCACUCAAAAGUGUCCUGCAUCACUCUGGAAUGAUCCCUGACUUUCUGCCUGUUUUCACUUUUGGGCUUCAGAAUAGAAACAGUCCUCAGACAGGGGGAAGGUCCUUAUCAUGAGACGUUUAAGCCAGAGAGGAAUAAGCAGAGGGGAGUCCUUCCCUAACGAGGCUUCUUCUCAAUUCAAACAAGUGUAGAAUACAAAGAGACAAAAGCAAAUGCAGACCCAAAGCAAACAGCUGCAUACGUACACACACACAUACAUAAAUACAUACAUAUAUGUGUAAUAUAUAUAUGUGUGUGUGUAUGUGUAAUAUGUGUGUGUGUGUUUAUGUAUGUAGUUCUCUAUGUAUCCAGGUAUUCGCUAUUAACCUCGUCAUAUGUAAUAUGCUGGCUGCACUCUUCUUUCCAAGUACACCAGCUGAGAAACACUGAGAAAGCUUUCCAGAGAGAGCAAUUUAUCUUUCUUACCUGGAGAAAACCCACAGAAGAGGCUUUGCACUGUUUAUCCUCUACAGAUCACAAAGCAAGCUGGAAAUACAGCUUUUCAUCAAUGACAAUGACAAACUUCCUGGGGUAUUUCGAUACCAUCAUCCUCUUUCUGUUUGUAAGAGGGAGCCAGGGGCUUCUGUUACUUUAAAGGAGAGACUGCAGCAGAAAGAGCCCCAGCCAGCUGAACAGAGGUUAGCUGCAGGAGGGAAGACAACAAGGCAACAACAGCCCUGUAGGCAGUAAGUUUCCCAUCAAGAUGAGGGGAUGCACCUGCAGCUGGUCAGUCAACAUCUGACCAGAAGGGGAGGAGCACAGGGGUUAUAAACCUGGGCUCCUGAGAUAGAGUGGUAGUUUAGCCCUGAAGUCUGCAGAGAAAGGAGCUCCUGCCAGGUCAGGUUGAAGGAUUGUGACAUCUCCAUACAAAGAAUCAUGCAAAGCCAAAGGGCUGAACCUGUACCAUUCACGUGCUACAGGUAUAUAUUCACUGAAGCAGCCGAAUGCUAUUAUUACUCAACAACCUUUACUGAAAUGGAGUAAGGCACAUUCUUGGGCCCUGAAACUCCUAGCUGACAUUAGGAGAUGCACCAGAUCAGGGGCAGGCUGCCCUGGCUGACCAGAAUCAGCUGAAAUAAGAGGGAGUUCCAGGAAGACAGACAGGGAAGCAGGAAGGCAAGUAAUGGGGGAAGGAUGUGAAAGGGAAGGAGGAGGAAAUGAAUGCUCCUGUUUCAGUGACUUAAGGCUGCCUGUAACUGGAGUUGCUUGAUACCUUCACACCCCUGGACCUUCUUUCAGCUGUCUUUGCACCUCACAAUUGUGUGAUGGCUUCACAGAAGAGAAGACCUCCUGAUGUUUGGAGCUCCAGAAGGACAUUUCUUCCCUACUGCCACCCUCAUUUUACUGUGUUCUUUUAAAACAACUUAAGCAAACCAGGAGCUUUUGAUUUGCUCUGGAAAUUCUGGUUUAUAAAAGUCCAAUGGAUUCUGUAUGAAGCCAUUAAAGAACAACCUACCUGUGAGUGAUCUAAAUUACCGUGAGGCUACAGUUGAAAUCGGAGCACCAUGUUCAUCACCAAUUCACUAGACUGACCGCAAUAAAAGUAAACCCUUGCCCAAAGAGCUGACAAUCUCCAUGGACAAGAUGAACGUUGAGCAGGAGAAAGAGGAUAGGCAUGCAUCCUUUCAUGAAUGAGGAAAACAAGGCACAAGAAUCUUGAGACUUGCCCAAGGGAGCCAGGCAGAGCCCAGGACUGAACUCGCAUCUCCUGAGUACUAGUCAGGUGCUAUAACCACAUAGACCAACCUUUCUCUUGUAUAAGGCUUGGAAAAAAUUCACUACUAAGAGAUAUACUCUAUCCCCUGGGAGCUGCAUUGUUCCAGAAAGAGGUACCAGUAGAGACCAGAUGCUAUGUACUUACAAAUGCCCUUCCCCAACUUCAUGAAUCUAGGGAAAAGAGUUCCCAUCCAUUACAACACAGUCAUUUGAAGAAUGACUUUCAGUUACACUGAUCAUUUGGCACCUGCCACAGUAAUAAAAUGAGAACAUAAAUUGGAGUAAGGUGUUGCUUUCCUCAAUAAUAAAUAUAUUCUUUACAUUUA